AAAUCCCAAACACGAAGAUGAAUUUAUGAAAUAUAACCAAAACGGAGUAGAGAAUACUUACCCAAAUCCAUAUGGUGAAUCGCCCAAAUCCGAGCUCCCCAACUCAAAAUAUGAUUGAAUGAACAAAACUAGCUUUAUAUAUUUUUCUUCCAGCUAUUCUAUCUCGUUUCUCAUGCUAAACGUCCCCAAAACUCAUAUUUUAUGCCUCCAAUAGAUUCCUUGUGAAAUUCUAAUCAAUUUAGACUUUUGAAUCACUCAAUUUGACCUUAUAAUGAAUGAGAUAUGUAGGUUUAAUAUUUGCAAAUAGUGCAUGUUUUUAAAUACGCUGCUAGUGGCAAUUUCGUAAUUAAACAGAAAAAAUCUAACAACCUAAUUCUUAGUAAAAUAGAGAUAAAAUCCAAAUACGAUGUCCAAAUUAGAUCAUUCUUUUUGCUACGGGUCCGCAAUUACGAUACAGAUAUAAUGUUUCAAUCAAAAAAAGAAAUAGGAGCUCGUUUGUUCAAUAUGAUAUCAUUUAUGCUUGGAAACCCUAAUGCUUCAAUCAAAAAAGAAAUAGGAGCUCGUUAGUUCAAUAUGAUAUCAUUUAUGCUUGGAAAUCCAAACCUAUCCAAAACUCAGCCGAGACACUCGAGACUCCAACCAAUAAUUCCAAAAAGUCAUAUAUCACUAGCUGAACUUAGCCGAACCUUCAAAAUACCCAAAACAACACCAAAACACCAAAUCACCUCGAAUUCAAGCCUAAGAAUUUCUAA
rnacentral:lncRNA from 1 species